GUACACAAAAAUGCACAUAUUGUGAGCUCGAUGAGUAGGGCGGGACACGUGGUAUCCUGUCUGAAUAUGGGGGGACCAUCCUCCAAGGCUAAAUACUCCUGACUGACCGAUAGUGAACCAGUACCGUGAGGGAAAGGCGAAAAGAACCCCGGCGAGGGGAGUGAAAAAGAACCUGAAACCGUGUACGUACAAGCAGUGGGAGCCUCUUUAUGGGGUGACUGCGUACCUUUUGUAUAAUGGGUCAGCGACUUAUAUUCUGUAGCAAGGUUAACCGAAUAGGGGAGCCGAAGGGAAACCGAGUCUUAACUGGGCGUUAAGUUGCAGGGUAUAGACCCGAAACCCGGUGAUCUAGCCAUGGGCAGGUUGAAGGUUGGGUAACACUAACUGGAGGACCGAACCGACUAAUGUUGAAAAAUUAGCGGAUGACUUGUGGCUGGGGGUGAAAGGCCAAUCAAACCGGGAGAUAGCUGGUUCUCCCCGAAAGCUAUUUAGGUAGCGCCUCGUGAAUUCAUCUCCGGGGGUAGAGCACUGUUUCGGCAAGGGGGUCAUCCCGACUUACCAACCCGAUGCAAACUGCGAAUACCGGAGAAUGUUAUCACGGGAGACACACGGCGGGUGCUAACGUCCGUCGUGAAGAGGGAAACAACCCAGACCGCCAGCUAAGGUCCCAAAGUCAUGGUUAAGUGGGAAACGAUGUGGGAAGGCCCAGACAGCCAGGAUGUUGGCUUAGAAGCAGCCAUCAUUUAAAGAAAGCGUAAUAGCUCACUGGUCGAGUCGGCCUGCGCGGAAGAUGUAACGGGGCUAAACCAUGCACCGAAGCUGCGGCAGCGACACUAUGUGUUGUUGGGUAGGGGAGCGUUCUGUA
rnacentral:rRNA from 1 species